AAAUUGAAGAGUUUGAUCAUGGCUCAGAUUGAACGCUGGCGGCAGGCCUAACACAUGCAAGUCGAACGGUAACAGGAAGCAGCUUGCUGCUUUGCUGACGAGUGGCGGACGGGUGAGUAAUGUCUGGGAAACUGCCUGAUGGAGGGGGAUAACUACUGGAAACGGUAGCUAAUACCGCAUAACGUCGCAAGACCAAAGAGGGGGACCUUCGGGCCUCUUGCCAUCGGAUGUGCCCAGAUGGGAUUAGCUAGUAGGUGGGGUAACGGCUCACCUAGGCGACGAUCCCUAGCUGGUCUGAGAGGAUGACCAGCCACACUGGAACUGAGACACGGUCCAGACUCCUACGGGA
rnacentral:rRNA from 1 species